ensembl:misc_RNA
UUGACAGCUUUGGAAAUGGAUGGCUUCUUUUUCUCCCAAGAAUAGAUGCAGCCUGAUAAACAGAAAUGUAAGAGUGCCCCAACUGCUUCACCAAUAUGCCUUCUCCCUGACAAAGUAAUGGCUGCAAGAAAGAAAGAACAAGUCACCUUUUCCAGCCAGUUCUCUGCUGACACUGCU